AUAACCAACGGCGGUGCCACCGGCGGCACCGGCGAGGGUAUUCUCUACAGAUCCUCUGCCAGAACUCCUUCUAACCAAUUCCUUUUCCGCCGCAACGCGCUCUUUCCGCCUUCCAAAGAAGCCCGCACCCUCCAUGUCGUUCAAGCCAAGAAAUCCUCCUUCCGAACCGGCCGAUUCGACAGUAAGAACCGGAGGAGCUCGACGACAACCAAGGAACAGGAAGAAGAAGACGAACGAAAUCGGAUGGCCGAGAUUUUAAGCGACAGUCCCAACGUUGGAAAUGCCAGCGUAGCGUUUGAUGUGGACGAGAAUCUGCCGGAAUUGCCCGGGCUUCAGCCUGAUUUCUG
rnacentral:misc_RNA from 1 species